GCUGGUUGUGGAGACGUUCGCUUUGACAGAAAACCUGAAUCAUGAAGAUUUAUCUGCUGCUGCUGUUGCUGCUGCCGCUCUGCUCAGCACUGGAGCCAUCUUACAUCGAGUGUAUCGGUCAUGACUUCCUGAUGGUCAACAACCUGCUGAUUCACUGCAGCAGCAAAGUCCAACAAGCCUGCUACACCCGAGAUAACGGAGAGAAAGGCUGCACUCAGCUGGAGAGCUGCUCCAAACCCGGCUGGACCUGUUGCUAUACCAACCGCUGCAACGCCUGAGCCAAUCACAGCCCUGCAAACACGGAGGGACAUUUCCCAGAAUGCAGUGCGGUUUCUGGACUUUGAGUUUCUGUUGACUGAACAAAUAAACUGACUUCCUGAGUUUGUGAAUAAAGUUCAGGAAUCAUUUGAAAGCU